rnacentral:rRNA from 1 species
AUACGUAGGGGGCGAGCGUUGUCCGGAAUGAUUGGGCGUAAAGGGCGCGUAGGCGGCUUUGCAAGUCAGUAGUGGAAGUCCAUUUUUCAAGGAUGGAAGUGCUACAGAAACUGCGGAGCUUGAGUGCAGGAGAGGUUAUCGGAAUUCCCGGUGUAGCGGUGAAAUGCGUAGAGAUCGGGAGGAACACCAGUGGCGAAGGCGGGUAACUGGACUGCAACUGACGCUGAGGCGCGAAAGUGUGGGGAGCAAACAGGAUUAGAUACCCUGGUAGUCCACGCUGUAAACUAUGAUAACUAUCUUUUAGCGAUACACAGUUAGAGGGUACGAGAAAUCAUUAAGUUAUCCACCUGGGGAUUACGGUCGCAAGAAUGAAACUCAAAGGAAUUGACGGGG